rnacentral:rRNA from 1 species
UCCUACGGGAGGCAGCAGUGGGGAAUAUUGCACAAUGGGCGCAAGCCUGAUGCAGCCAUGCCGCGUGUAUGAAGAAGGCCUUCGGGUUGUAAAGUACUUUCAGCGGGGAGGAAGGGAGUGAGGUUAAUAACCUCAUUCAUUGACGUUACCCGCAGAAGAAGCACCGGCUAACUCCGUGCCAGCAGCCGCGGUAAU